GAAGGCGGCCCCUGGACGAGACUGACGCUCAGGUGCGAAAGCGUGGGGAGCAAACAGGAUUAGAUACCUGGUAGUCCACGCUGUAAACGAUGUCGACUUGGAGGUUGUGCCCUGAGGCGUGGCUUCCGGAGCUAACGCGUUAAAUCGACCGCGUGGGGAGUACGGCCGCAAGGUUAAAACUCAAAUGAAUUGACGGGGGCCCGCACAAGCGGUGGAGCAUGUGGUUUAAUUCGAUGCAACGCGAAGAGCCUUACCUACUCUUGACAUCCAGAGAACUUUCCAGAGAUGGAUUGGUGCCUUCGGGAACUCUGAGACAGGUGCUGCAUGGCUGUCGUCAGCUCGUGUUGUGAAAUGUUGGGUUAAGUCCCGCAACGAGCGCAACCCUUAUCCUUUGUUGCCAGCGGUUCGGCCGGGAACUCAAAGGAGACUGCCAGUGAUAAACUGGAGGAAGGUGGGGAUGACGUCAAGUCAUCAUGGCCCUUACGAGUAGGGCUACACACGUGCUACAAUGGCGUAUACAAAGAGAAGCGACCUCGCGAGAGCAAGCGGACCUCAUAAAGUACGUCGUAGUCCGGAUUGGAGUCUGCAACUCGACUCCAUGAAGUCGGAAUCGCUAGUAAUCGUAGAUCAGAAUGCUACGGUGAAUACGUUCCCGGGCCUUGUACACACCGCCCGUCACACCAUGGGAGUGGGUUGCAAAAGAAGUAGGUAGCUUAACCUUCGGGAGGGCGCUUACCACUUUGUGAUUCAUGACUGGGGUGAAGUCGUAACAAGGUAACCA
rnacentral:rRNA from 1 species